CGGGUGAGUAACACGUGAGCAACCUGCCCCUGACUCUGGGAUAAGCCUUGGAAACGAGGUCUAAUACCGGAUAUGACGCUCCUACGCAUGUGGGGGUGUGGAAAGAAUUUCGGUCGGGGAUGGGCUCGCGGCCUAUCAGCUUGUUGGUGGGGUGAUGGCCUACCAAGGCGACGACGGGUAGCCGGCCUGAGAGGGCGACCGGCCACACUGGGACUGAGACACGGCCCAGACUCCUACGGGAGGCAGCAGUGGGGAAUAUUGCACAAUGGGCGCAAGCCUGAUGCAUCGACGCCGCGUGAGGGAUGACGGCCUUCGGGUUGUAAACCUCUUUCAGCAGGGAAGAAGCGAAAGUGACGG
rnacentral:rRNA from 1 species